CUCGGUGGAAACUUCAAAUCGGAAAUUCCCUUAACCAGUUAUCAAAUGGCAAUUUCAAAAGUUCAAACCCAUCAAAUGAAAGGAUAACUCCUGUCAUUUUUCUGACUUGAUUUAGGCAUUUCCUUAUGUAGAAAAUGGUGGGUUAAACCUAGUUUUAUAGCUAGUUAAAAGAGGGACAAAAGAUACCAGAGGGACAGUCAAACUCAUUGAUCGAAAAUAAACUGACAACACUAGACAAACAGAUAAAUAAUAGAACACAAG
rnacentral:lncRNA from 1 species